ACUGAUGCACUCACGCAUGCGCGCACACACAUGAACACAGCACACGCCCCCUUUCACACUGCAGCUAAGAUGGGUAACAGACAAUUUUCGUCCCGACACGUCGCGGCGGUGAUCGCUCUACGCUUCCCCCCGUUCACCUGGAUGUCACGAUUCUGGUUUUCUUUUACAUUUCAUAUACGAGAGCAGUGAUUCCCAAAGUGCGACACCGCGAGGGGACUGCAGGCGUGAGACCAGCACAAGGAAGUGUCCGAUUCACAACGACCAAUGGGGAUUGGAUACCUUGGUACCGAGCCCAGACCUCUGCAGGGAUUCUAACCAAGUUCCCAAAGCCAAGUUCUCUUUCCACUAGCUCAGAAAAAGGUUGCAGGAUCCAGAUCUAUCCAGAGCUAUGUGUGUUUCUGACGAGACCUCCUGAUCUUGAGGACACCGGGUUGUUGCAAGGCUGGUUUACCACUAACAGAAGGUUGAGGGAGGGGUUACAGCCCCAAUCUGCCUGCAACACACGGUUUAACCAUCACAACGACUGGAAGCCGUUAAAUUAGGAUAAAAAUCCUGCUUUAAUCCCGGGGCUGGGGUGUCCUGACCCCCAAGUGCUGCUCCUGCACCUGGUGUGUGUGUGUGUGUUGCUGCGUGAUGGGUUUAAUGCAAUGGUCAAAGUCACUGAUUGUGUGUGUGUAACUAAAACUAAUGCAUUACCACUUAAUAAUUAAUAAUCACUUAUCCCUCAUCUGUAAAAUAAAAUUAUGAAUUCUUAUUUGCCACAAUAGUCAGGGGAGGUAUUUAUACUGUCCGAGAAGAAGCCUGUUGCAAUUAUGUGGUGCUCGUAUGGAUCGAGUAUUGAUUAAGGUCCAUCCUUGAUUUUAAGAUUCAACAGACGGACUUCACUGCAAAUGAGAACAAUGGAACUUCCACUAUUUUGAAAACUGCACAGAGUCCAAUAAACACGGCUCGACUGAUACAAAAAUCCUGGUGGGGAUUUUGACUCUAGCCAAUCUGUUCCCACAGUGAAAUAUUUAUGGGCUAAUCCUCUUUGAAGAGGCAACAGGUUCCAGACUUCGUUAUACAUUCAACGACUGUGGUCAUGAAAGUUUUACAGAUUACAGGAAGAAAAAGUUUGGCACUGAGUUUUCAAAGUAUGACUGUGGAGGAACGCAGUGAUAUCUGCUCGUUCAAGGUAAUUAUAGUAGAAGACAAUCAGUCUGCACUUAGAUAACUCUGUGGCUGGGUUAGUUAUUAGUUAGUUACACUGGGAAGCCUCCAGAGAGACGACCACAUGUGGACGAGCUCAAUAAAAGACUUGAAUUCUUUGUA